rnacentral:lncRNA from 1 species
UCCUCCUCCAUCUCUUCGUGUCGCUUUUUGGCACUUAUGAGGCCUUUUGGUUUCGAACAUUCCCACGAAUUUCUCUAUGGUCAGAUCUCGGUGUCCCCGCUUGGCUACCUCCGAGUUCUACUAGAUCUUCAUUUUUUGUAUUGUCGGUGAGAUCACAGAUCGGCAAGCUUUCAGCUGGCUAGGGUUUCCAUGCUCAUUGAUGAGGUAUUGUUUGCAUUCCACUUUUUACUUUCUCUUUUGCUGCUGAGAAAACAAGCACUGAGUAGUAAAAUUUUAUGAAAAUAUGAUUUUACUUCCUGAAAUUUAAUUUUUUGUAACUAAAACUCUACAUAACUAUUUUUUUCCUAACUAAAACUCAGUGACUAGGUUCUAACAAGUGGUUAGUACAACAAUCUAAUGGUAUUUCUCUUCAUUUUGAAUGAGCGAUUUUAAGUUUCAUUCUCAUCAAAAGUGAAUUUCAACCACAUUAUUACUAGUCUGUUGUUUUGCUAAGACCACCUGUAAAUAAUAUUGUUUGUUAAAAAAAAACUUAGUGACUAAACUCUCCCUAAGCAAAUUUUUUAAUAAAGUUUUACUUCACACAUUUUAUAGUUUUUGGAUGCCCAUAAUAUCACCAAUUAUUUAUUUGUCACCUACAAUUAAUUGUGUGCAUAGUAUAUGAAUUAAGGACAUAAUGUUUUUUUUGUAUCAUUUAAGGAGGAGACAAAAGUUCAAACCCCAACAAGCUAAACCUCAAAACAAUCAAACCAAAAUUUAUAAAUUCUAGCCAUGCCCCCAAUAGACUUGUUACUUAGCCAAGCCAAAACUACAAACUAACAUCAUCUAUAAUAAUUUAUUUAUGUGCACUUCUGCACGAUCAGUUUCACAAUUCAUGCACUUCUACAAAUACCCUAGAUAUGUAACAACAACAACAACAAAGCAUUUUCCCACUAAAUGGGAUCGGCUAUAUAAAUCCUAGAACGUCAUUGCACUCGGUUCUGUGUCACGUCAUCUGUUAGAUCCAAGUACUCUAAAUCUUUUCUUAGAGUCUCUUCCAAAGUUCUUUUAGGUUUUCCUCUACCUCUUCGGUCCUGAACCUCUGUCCUGUAAUCGCAUCUUCUAACUGGAGUGUCAAUAGGCUUUCGUUUCACAUGUCCAAAUUUUCUCUCAUAUUUCUUUCAAUUUUGGCUACUCCUACUUUACCUCGGAUAUCCUUAUUCCUAAUCUUAUUAUUUUUUGUGUGCCCACACAUCUAACAAAACAUUCUCAUCUCCGCUACACCCAUUUUAUGUACGUGUUGAUGCUUCACCGCCCAACAUUCCGUGCCAUAAAGUAUUGUUGGCCUUAUUGUCAUCCUAUAAUUUUUUUUCUUGAGCUUCAGUGGUGUACGACGGUCACACAACAUUUGAGCCUUCAUUUGCAUUGAACUUUCACUCCAUAUACUUUGUCUUUGACCGACUUAGGUGAAAAUCUUUAGAUUCUAACACUUCUCUCCAAAGGUUAAGCUUCACAUUUACUCAUUCUUGAGUUUCAUCUAUCAACACUAUAUCGUCUGCGAAAAACAUAUAUCAAGGACUAUCGUCUUGAAUAUGUCCCAUUAACUCAUCCAUUACCAAUGCAAAAAGGUAAGGACUUAAAGAUGAGCCUUGAUGUAACCUUACAGUUAUGGGGAAGCUUUCGGUUUGUCCUUCAUGAGUUCGUACAACAGUCCUUGCUCUGUCGUACAUAUCCUUUAUAACUUGGAUAUAUGCUACACGUACUCCUUUCUUCUCUAAAAUCCUCCAAAGAAUGUCUCUUGGGAUCCUAUCAUACGCUUUUUCCAAAUCUAUAAAGACCAUGUGCGAAUCCUUUUUCAUAUCUCUAUAUCUCUCCAUCAAUGUUCGUAAGAGAUAGAUUGCCUCCAUGAUUGAGCGCCCUGACAUGAACCUAAAUUGGUUGUCCGACACCCAUGUCUCUUGCCUCAGUCUAUGCUCAAUUACUCUCUCCCAGACCUUCAUUGUAUGACUGAUUAACUUAAUACCCUUAUAGUUCAUGCAAUUUUGUACGUCGCCCUUAUUCGUAUAGAUAGGCACCAAAGUGCUCUUUCGCCACUCAUUUGGCAUCUUCUUUGAUUUCAAAUCCUAUUGAAAACAUCUGUGAGCCAUGCUAUACCCAUCUCUCCCAAGACUUUCCAUACUUCCAACGGUAUAUCAUCUGGGCCCACUACUUUUCUAUGCUUCAUCUUUUUCAAAGUUACAACCACUUAUUCCUUUCAAAGCUUAACCUUAGAUAUGUAAAAAGAAUUAAAAUCUCUCAAAAUACCAAUUUAAUACACCCCGUCGAGUGACAGCGAACAAUUUCAUAUAUUCUCGAAUGGUGGUUCGAACUUAACUCGAAUGUUAAGGAGACUGAACUUAGUAACGAUAUUCGAUGUGUGGUUGUUUAGAAUAGCUUUGAAGAUAAUUUCUGUUGUUGUAUUAGUGUACUCCGCUGUUUAACGGAAUCUGCAUAUUUUGUCUAUCUUGGUUGUUUUUCGAGGCAAUCAAACUGAUGAAUGCUUAGAACUGCAGGAUCAAUUUUAGAAGCAUAAUAUGACAUGCAUAAUAUGACAUGCUAAUAUGACAUGCUAUUUUGUUUCUUUGAUGAUAAAAUAGACAUCAAAUGAUUUUAAUCGAAAUUG